GACGAACGCUGGCGGCGUGCUUAACACAUGCAAGUCGAACGGAAAGGCCCUGCUUUUGUGGGGUGCUCGAGUGGCGAACGGGUGAGUAACACGUGAGUAACCUGCCCUUGACUGUGGGAUAACUUCAGGAAACUGGGGCUAAUACCGGAUAGGAGCUCCUGCUGCAUGGUGGGGGUUGGAAAGUUUCGGCGGUUGGGGAUGGACUCGCGGCUUAUCAGCUUGUUGGUGGGGUAGUGGCUUACCAAGGCUUUGACGGGUAGCCGGCCUGAGAGGGUGGCCGGCCACAUUGGGCCUGAGAUACGGCCCAGACUCCUACGGGAGGCAGCAGUGGGGAAUAUUGCACAAUGGGCGGAAGCCUGAUGCAGCAACGCCGCGUGCGGGAUGACGGCCUUCGGGUUGUAAACCGCUUUCGCCUGUGACGAAGCGUGAGUGACGGUAAUGGGUAAAGAAGCACCGGCUAACUACGUG
rnacentral:rRNA from 1 species